rnacentral:piRNA from 1 species
CCAUAAUCUCUUAGGGACCUACACUC